rnacentral:rRNA from 1 species
GAUGAACGCUGGCGGCGUGCCUAAUACAUGCAAGUCGAGCGAACAGACGAGGAGCUUGCUCCUCUGACGUUAGCGGCGGACGGGUGAGUAACACGUGGAUAACCUACCUAUAAGACUGGGAUAACUUCGGGAAACCGGCUCUAAUACCGGAUAAUAUAUUGAACCGCAUGGUGCAAUAGUGAAAGACGGUUUUGCUGUCACUUAUAGCUGGAUCCGCGCGGCAUUAGCUGGUUGGUAAGGUAACGGCUUACCAGGGCAACGAUGCGUAGCCGAGCUGAGAGGGGGUAGGGCCACUGAGAAGGUGACCGACGGUACAGACACUGAGGGGCGGCCGAGGCAGGUACGCUUGCGCACUGGGCGAAAGAUUGACGGAGCAGCGCCGCGCGGGUGAUGAAGGUCUGCGGGUCGUAAGACUCUGUUCGGGUGGAAGACCAAAUGUGCAAGUAACGAUGCGCGUCUGACGGGAACCUAAUAAGAAGGACCCGGUUACUUACGG